GGAUAACGCAAGUUUGUGUUGGGACUGUGAUGCGAAGGUUCAUUCAGCUAACUUUCUUGCGGCGAGGCAUUCUAGGUCUUUGCUAUGUCAGGUGUGUCAAUCGCCUACGGCUUGGUCGGCUGCCGGUGCAAAGCUUGGGAAGACGGUUUCUGUAUGUGAUAAGUGUGUGGAUGGUUACUAUCAUAGGGAUGGAGUGGAAGAGAUUGAGGAGAGUGAGAGCGUGAAUGAUGAAGAGAGUGAUACAGAGGACGAGGAAACUGAUUACGAAGAAGAUGAGGACGAAAUUGAUUCGGGGGAUAUUCAGGUGGUUCCGUGGUCAAAUACGACGCCUCCACCGCCGGCUAGUUCAUCUAGCAGUGAAGAUUCAUCAAAUGGCUGUAGAAAUGUCUCUUCAAAGCGAAUGCGUGAAGCUGAUCCGGAUCUUCAGUCAGAUGACGACAGCGGAAGUUCGUCGUGUCAACGGAAAGUCCAUAUAUCGCCGGCGAUGGAUGCAGACGGCGGAGACGACGCAGCCGCUAGUGUUGACUCAUACUCAUCAAAAAUGAGAACGCCGGUUAAGAUCCAGAGAACAGAUCGUCUCACGGCUCCUAGAUGCACGCCGGUAAUAGAGUUUAUCCGGAGAAAUAAUCGGCAAAGGAUGAACUCCGGUGCGGCGAUCGCCGAGCUCUGUAGACUCAAUCAUGAGUCAAGGACCACAGAUCUGAAAAGCUCAGAGACAUCGUAGCCGUCUGAUUGACCAUUCGUUUUCAUCAACAUUACGUGGGUUCUACUUUUUUUU
rnacentral:misc_RNA from 1 species